AUUGAACGCUGGCGGCACGCCUUACACAUGCAAGUCGAACGGCAGCAUGAUCUAGCUUGCUAGAUUGAUGGCGAGUGGCGCACGGGUGAGUCAUACAUCGGAACGUGCCCUGUAGUGGGGGAUAACUAGUCGAAAGAUUAGCUAAUACCGCAUACGACCUGAGGGUGAAAGUGGGGGACCGCAAGGCCCCAUGCUAUAGGAGCGGCCGAUGUCUGAUUAGCUAGUUGGUGAGGUAAAGGCUCACCAAGGCGACGAUCAGUAGCUGGUCUGAGAGGACGAUCAGCCACACUAGGACUGAGACACGGCCCAGACGCCUACGGGAGGCAGCAGUGGGGAAUUUUGGACAAUGGGCGAAAGCCUGAUCCAGCAAUGCCGCGUGUGUGAAGAAGGCCUUCGGGUUGUAAAGCACUUUUGUCCGGAAAGAAAUGGCUCUGGUUAAUACCUGGGGUCGAUGACGGUACCGGAAGAAUAAGGACCGGCUAACUACGUG
rnacentral:rRNA from 1 species